GAUGGCGACGGUGGAAGUGGCUACGGAGCUGGGAACAGUAGUGACUGCUGUCGGGCCUAAGGCGAAGGACGAGGAAGAAGAAGAAGACGAGGAGGAGUCGCUGCCACCAUGCGAGACUGUGCGCUGGGCUCCUGUGGGGGCAGUUGCCGAGGCCGGUCCUGGGGCGGCGACGUUCUCGGAGGAGGCGGCAGCCGAAGAGCCUGGAGCGGCUCCGGGCUCUCCUCCGGACGCGACUGUCCGCACGCUGAGGCGGUUGCAAGCCGAGCGGCGGCAGCUGGAUUCGGCCCUGCUCGCGCUGUCCUCGCACUUCGCGCAAGUUCAGUUCCGCCUGCGCCAGGUAGUGCGCGGGGCGCCGGCGGAGCAGCAACGUCUCCUGCGCGAGCUCGAAGACUUUGCCUUCCGCGGCUGUCCUCACGUCCUAGGUUAUGAGGGGCUGGAAGACCCUUGUGACAGUGAAGAAAGCGAUGUGCUGCCGGGGGACCGGCCACGGGUGCGCGGCGAGGUCCAG
rnacentral:lncRNA from 1 species